UACGUAGGGUGCAAGCGUUGUCCGGAAUUAUUGGGCGUAAAGAGCUUGUAGGCGGUUUGUCGCGUCUGCUGUGAAAUUUCGGGGCUCAACCCCGAACUUGCAGUGGGUACGGGCAGACUAGAGUGUGGUAGGGGAGACUGGAAUUCCUGGUGUAGCGGUGAAAUGCGCAGAUAUCAGGAGGAACACCAGUGGCGAAGGCGGUGCUCUGGGCCGGAACUGACGCUGAGGAGCGAAAGCGUGGGGAGCAAGCAGG
rnacentral:rRNA from 1 species